rnacentral:rRNA from 1 species
UACAGAGGUCCCGAGCGUUGUUCGGAUUCACUGGGCGUAAAGGGUGCGUAGGUGGUUGGGUAAGUUUGAUGUGAAAGCUCAGGGCUUAACCCUGAAAUGGCACUGAAUACUACUUAACUGGAGGUUUGGAGGGGGGACUGGAAUUCUUGGUGUAGCAGUGAAAUGCGUAGAUAUCAAGAGGAACACCAGUGGCGAAGGCGAGUCCCUGGACAACACCUGACACUGAGGCACGAAAGCUAGGGGAGCAAACGGG